GGACCACGGGGUCCAAGGGGGUGGCAGGACAGGGGCAGCCUCCUCCCAAUCCCUCUCGGUGCCGUUGCAGAGCGGGAUCAACGCCCACGUCAGGAACACCUACAACCAGACAGCUCUGGAUAUCGUCAACCAGUUCACCACCAGCCAGGCCAGCAAGGAGAUCAAGCAGAUGCUGCGGGACGCCUCCGCCGCUCUGCAGGUCCGGGCCGUCAAGGACUAUUGCAACAAUUACGACCUGACCAGCCUCAACGUGAAGGCCGGGGACGUCAUCACCGUGCUGGAGCAGCACGCGGACGGGCGCUGGAAGGGCUGCAUCCACGACAACCGCACCGGCAACGACCGCGUGGGAUACUUCCCCUCCAGCCUCGUCGAGGCCAUAAGCAAACGAACAGGCAAAUAAUUCCCCCCACCUGCCCCCAGCCCCGGGGAGCCCCGUGUUGGUCUGGUGGGGACUGGGGUGUUUGGGGGGUGCAGCAGUGCCAACAAACCCAGGCGAUGCCCCGCUGUGCAUGUGGGGUCUGUGUCCCUGCCAUGUGCAUGGGGACGGUGCCUUUGAGUGUGCAGGGUCAAUGUCCCUGUUGUGCAGGUGGGGCCAGUGCCCACCUGGUGCCUGUGGGUGUCGGUGCUGGCAGCCCCAGGGUGUUCAUGGGGCAGCCCCAGGCUGCCCUCAGGGGGAGGUAUUACUUGUGGUGCUGGGAGCUUGGUGCAUGAGGAGACUGGGGGCAUCACUAUGGUUUUGGGGGGCCAGUGCAGCAGUGGGGUCACAGAACCUGGUGCUUGGGGUCUGCACAGGGGGCUGGGCACCAGUGCCAGGGACCUAAUGCUGCUCCAUGGAGACCUUCUCCCCAACCAGGGGCCAUCCCAGGAGUCGGACCCUG
rnacentral:lncRNA from 1 species